AGGACGAACGCUGGCGGCGUGCUUAACACAUGCAAGUCGAGCGAGGCCCGUCCUUCGGGACGGUGCCCUAGCGGCGAACGGGUGAGUAACACGUGGGCAACCUGCCCCUAGCACUGGGAUAACUCCGGGAAACCGGGGCUAAUACCGGAUAUGACCUUUGAGGGCAUCCUUGAAGGUGUAAAGGAUUCUGGCUAGGGAUGGGCCCGCGGCCUAUCAGCUUGUUGGUGGGGUAAUGGCCUACCAAGGCGACGACGGGUAGCCGGCCUGAGAGGGCGACCGGGCCACGACUGGGACUGAGACACGGCCCAGACUCCUACGGGAGGCAGCAGUGGGGAAUAUUGCACAAUGGGCGAAAGCCUGAUGCAGCGACGCCGCGUGAGGGAUGACGGCCUUCGGGUGUAAACCUCUUUCAGCAGGGACGAAGCGAAAGUGACGGUACCUGCAGAAGAAGCACCGGCAACUACGUGCCAGCAGCCGC
rnacentral:rRNA from 1 species